AUGUAGUUAGCGCACCUUGAAGGAAAACGUGUGCCUACUUUCACUUUUCACUUUUUUUGAAAUGAGAUUUUCAUUACGAUCCGUGUCGCAUUGUGGCUGUCGAGUGGGAACACUCUCGUGUACAAGAGCGGUGAAUGAUGGAGAGAACAAAGAAGUGGAAACCCCUCUGUGUACACUCUAUACGAAAAAGGGCAGUGCUCCAUAUCUUUCAGUUGACAUGCUGAAAAGAAUUGAAAAAUUACCUCCCAUUGUAAACAUGCAUUUAUCUUCUCUGGCAGAUUAUACAGAAGCUUUAAAUAAGUUCCAGCAUGGUGUUGGCCAGUUUACAGCAUUGCAGGAUUUUUUGGUGUACAUCUCUGUACAUGACACAGGUAUAGAGAUCCCCUCCGGAUACAACACAAAGGCAGGCACAGCUGUCUGGAACAAAGCUGGCAAGAAACUGAUAGAGCCCCAGCAGUUUGUGAAAUGUCAGGAGGCCUUCCGUCCCACUUUCUACCAAGCCCUGUCUGACAGUGACACUGACAAGAAUUCUGGGAAGAAGCGUGCAAUGAAAGCUGUGGACCGCACACUUGACUUCCUGGACACGAUACUAGAACUACAUAAAAAGUCAGAGAGACUGCGAGAUGUGGGUGUGUUUGGUUCUGUGGAGGGGGGAUUCCAUGAGGAGGCAAGAGCUCCUAGCUCCAGUCCUCCUGAUGAUACACAAUUUUCAUCAUUACUUCGAAUUCUUUGAAUCCCUUCGCUCAUCAUUGAAGACUGACCAAUUCCUGAAACUAAAGACAUUGAUUCUAGAACAAAGGCCAUCACAAGAGCCACCAAAAGUGACACAGUUACAGGCAGGAUGGUGUGACAAAAUGAGUGUGAGAAGCAGUCCUGGGACAGGAUUCCUUGUGACACAAUUAUCACCCAGAGGGGCCACAAAAUGGUGGGGGAUUAUUCUGAUUAGAGGGGAGGUCCCAGUAAAUUACACCAGUUAGUUUUACAUAAAUCAGAAAUUGCUGUUUUUAAAUAAACACUGGAAAGGAAUAAGUAAUGUUCCUUAGAUAAAAAAAAAAAAAUCAAAC
rnacentral:misc_RNA from 1 species